rnacentral:rRNA from 1 species
UACGUAGGGGGCAAGCGUUGUCCGGAUUUAUUGGGCGUAAAGAGCGUGUAGGCGGCCAAAUAGGUCGGUUGUGAAAACUGGAGGCUUAACCUCCAGCUGUCGAUGGAAACCAUCUGGCUAGAGUCCGGAAGAGGAGAGUGGAAUUCCUGGUGUAGCGGUGAAAUGCGCAGAUAUCAGGAAGAACACCCGUGGCGAAGGCGGCUCUCUGGGACGGUACUGACGCUGAGACGCGAAAGCGUGGGGAGCGAACAGG